rnacentral:lncRNA from 1 species
AAAAUUAUAAUAUAAAUUUUAUAACCCAAGAAUAAUUCUAGCGGCUAGACAUCGAAAUUGACAAAUUAAUUUGGCAGAAUGGAUAGCUGUCCACCAAUUUUGUCAAAACCGAGGACUUAGCGAUGUCCUUACUCUUUCCCUUGGUUUCUCCUCAAUUGGAGCAAGGAAAAUUUACAAGAAAAUUAUGUUUUUCUUCAACAAAUUUUCUACUUUUCCCAAAAAUUUCAAUUAUCCCCACAAAAUAAGAACGAUGAACAAGAUGAUCAAAGCAAAAUUGGAUAGUAGCUGGAUGAAGGAGAUUAUCAUCUCGUGGCAAAGUAGUGUGCAGAGAUCGAGUUGCUACUGCUUUACCAUUCGCCGAAGAAGAAGAUAAGUGUAAAACAACAAGCUUACGGCUUUAGCGUGGGUAUUCAGGUGGAGGAGAUCAUAAAGAAGUCUUGUUGGGUCUGUAGAUAUUUCACAAACAAACUCCAGCUGUCUACUGAUAAUUAUAUACAAUUUUCAUACUGUUAUAAAUAGAUCUCUAAUUAAAGUGAAUGUCUAUCUUAUAGAAGAGUUCUAUUUUGAGGCUAAGUAUUUUCUCUUCCUAUAAAUAGAGGGGUCUUACCCCAUUGUAAAUCAUCCCN